rnacentral:rRNA from 1 species
AGUGUAGGCGGCUACUUAAGUCGGAUGUGAAAUCCCUGGGCUCAACCUGGGAAUUGCAUUCGAUACUGGGUAGCUAGAGUUUGGUAGAGGUAAGUGGAAUUCCGGGUGUAGCGGUGAAAUGCGUAGAUAUCCGGAGGAACAUCAGUGGCGAAGGCGGCUUACUGGACCAAAACUGACGCUGAGGCUCGAAAGCGUGGGGAGCAAACAGGAUUAGAUACCCUGGUAGUCC